UACGUAGGGUGCGAGCGUUGUCCGGAAUUAUUGGGCGUAAAGAGCUUGUAGGCGGUCUGUCGCGUCUGCUGUGAAAAUCCGGGGCUCAACCCCGGACUGCAGUGGGUACGGGCAGACUAGAGUGUGGUAGGGGAGACUGGAAUUCCUGGUGUAGCGGUGAAAUGCGCAGAUAAUCAGGAGGAACACCGAUGGCGAAGGCAGGUCUCUGGGCCACUAC
rnacentral:rRNA from 1 species